UUCCAGUAGACUAACUUUGUUUCGACUUACCUCCUCUUUGGAAGAGGGUGACGGGCGAUAUGUGCACCUAAAUUCAAAUUCGUUCUUAAUUUUUAUUAAAAAACUACUUCCAAAUCCUCUUUUAUUUUUUCUUUAGAUAAAGUUCCUUUAAUAAUAUUAAUUGGUAAUUAGUUCCUUCUUAGAUAUAAUCUUCACCUUGACCUGACUUAUUAAAAAUGAUCAAAGCAAAAUAUUGAAAUCAUGCCUUUAGACGGCGGUAUAAAAGAGAGAAUCUAAGAAAAAAUAAGCGGGAAAAAUCGAUAAGAACAAAUUCCUCUGGUAAGAGAAAAGGCCGCCAAAAA
rnacentral:rRNA from 1 species